UAAUAAGUGUUUUAUGGCACUUUUUAAAUCCAUAUCCACCUUGUGUGCAAUGUUGGUCGAUCUUCUUUCAUUGAGAUCGACCAAACAUCAACCUUUAUCUUUUAACUCUUUGUCUGAAAAAUAUUAUGAAUAAACAAUUCAAAAUA
rnacentral:misc_RNA from 1 species